UAGUCCUAGCUGUAAACGAUGAACACUGGGUUGAGGGGACUUCCACAUCCUCUCGGCCGUAGCGAAAGCGUUAAGUGUUCCGCCUGGGGAGUAUGGUCGCAAGGCUGAAACUCAAAGGAAUUGACGGGGGCUCACACAAGCGGUGGAGGAUGUGGUUUAAUUCGAGGAUACGCGAAGAACCUUAUCCUAGAUUUGACAUGCUUGAGAGUCUCUAUGAAAGUAGAGAGUGCCCUUCGGGGAGCUCUUGCACAGGUGCUGCAUGGCUGUCGUCAGCUCGUGCCGUGAGAUGUCGGGUUAAGUCCCUUAACGAGCGCAACCCUUGUCUCUAGUUGCUAGCGGGUAAUGCCGAGGACUCUAGAGAGACUGCCGGUGUCAAACCGGGGGAAGGUGGGGAUGACGUCAAGUCCUCAUGGCCUUUAUGUCUAGGGCUGCACACGUCCUACAAUGGUACGGACAAAUGGAAGCUAAGCCGCGAGGUGGAGCAAACUACCCCAAAAACCGUCGCCUCAGUUC
rnacentral:rRNA from 1 species